rnacentral:rRNA from 1 species
UAGGGAAUCUUCCGCAAUGGGCGCAAGCCUGACGGAGCGAUGCCGCGUGAGCGAGGAAGGCCUUCGGGUCGUAAAGCUCUGUUGUCAGGGAAGAACAGCUUGCGUGUGAACAAUGCGCAAGUAUGACGGUACCUGACGAGGAAGCCCCGGCUAACUACGUGCCAGCAGCCGCGGUAAUACGUAGGGGGCGAGCGUUGUCCGGAAUCACUGGGCGUAAAGGGCGCGUAGGCGGUCAGCUAAGUCUGGUGUCAAAGCCCACGGCUUAACCGUGGAGGGGCACUGGAAACUGGCUGACUUGAGUGCAGGAGAGGGAAGCGGAAUUCCACGUGUAGCGGUGAAAUGCGUAGAGAUGUGGAGGAACACCAGUGGCGAAGGCGGCUUCCUGGUCUGUCACUGACGCUGAGGCGCGAGAGCGUGGGGAGCGAACA